AACGCGAAGAACCUUACCUGGGCUCGAACGGCUUCUCAACGGCGGUGGAAACACCGCUAUCCCGCAAGGGAGUGGAGUCGAGGUGCUGCAUGGCUGUCGUCAGCUCGUGUCGUGAGAUGUUGGGUUAAGUCCCGCAACGAGCGCAACCCUUGUCCUGUGUUGCCACCCCGCAAGGGAGCACUCGCAGGAGACCGCCAGCGAUAAGCUGGAGGAAGGUGGGGAUGACGUCAAGUCCUCAUGGCCUUUAUGUCCAGGGCUACACACGUGCUACAAUGGCCGGUACAAAGCGUUCCCAAGCCGCGAGGUGGAGGCAAUCGCAAAAAACCGGUCUCAGUUCGGAUUGCAGGCUGCAACUCGCCUGCAUGAAGCUGGAAUCGCUAGUAAUGGCAGAUCAGCACGCUGCCGUGAAUACGUUCCCGGGCCUUGUA
rnacentral:rRNA from 1 species